rnacentral:ncRNA from 18 species
CCGCUCACUCGUGGUGAAUUUGAGCCGGCCCGCUUGCAGCCACGUUAAACAACCUUGCUAAAAGGCCGGGGACGAACAGAC